CCUACGGGAGGCAGCAGUGGGGAAUCUUGCGCAAUGGGCGAAAGCCUGACGCAGCCAUGCCGCGUGAGUGAAGAAGGUCUUAGGAUUGUAAAGCUCUUUCGCUCGUGAGGCGGUAACGAGAGAAGAAGCCCCGGCUAACUUCGUGCCAGCAGCCGCGGUAAUACGAAGGGGGCUAGCGUUGUUCGGAAUUACUGGGCGUAAAGCGCGCGUAGGCGGUUUUGCAAGCCAGAGGUGAAAUGCCUGAGCUCAACUUAGGAAUUGCCUUUGGGACUGCGAGGCUUGAGGACUGGAGAGGUGAGUGGAAUUCCCAGUGUAGAGGUGAAAUUCGUAGAUAUUGGGAAGAACACCGGUGGCGAAGGCGGCUCACUGGCCAGUUCUGACGCUGCAGCGCGAAAGCGUGGGGAUCAAACAGGAUUAGAUACCCUUGUAGUC
rnacentral:rRNA from 1 species